GGGGGGAUGGCUCACCUGGUUGAGCACACAUAUUACAGUGCGCAGUGACCAGGGUUCGAGCCCCUGACCCCCCU
rnacentral:tRNA from 1 species